AACGAACGCUGGCGGCAGGCUUAACACAUGCAAGUCGAACGCCCCGCAAGGGGAGUGGCAGACGGGUGAGUAACGCGUGGGAAUCUACCCAGUUCUACGGAACAACUGAGGGAAACUUCAGCUAAUACCGUAUACGCCCUACGGGGGAAAGAUUUAUCGGAAUUGGAUGAGCCCGCGUUGGAUUAGCUAGUUGGUGAGGUAACGGCUCACCAAGGCGACGAUCCAUAGCUGGUCUGAGAGGAUGAUCAGCCACACUGGGACUGAGACACGGCCCAGACUCCUACGGGAGGCAGCAGUGGGGAAUAUUGGACAAUGGGCGCAAACCUGAUCCGGCCAUGCCGCGUGAGUGAUGAAGGCCUUAGGGUUGUAAAGCUCUUUCAGUGGGGACGAUAAUGACGGUACCCACAGAAGAAGCCCCGGCUAACUUCGUGCCAGCAGCCGCAGUAACAC
rnacentral:rRNA from 1 species